rnacentral:rRNA from 1 species
CCUGGUUGAUCCUACCAGUAGUCAUAUGCUUGUCUCAAAGAUUAAACCAUGCAAGUGUAAGUAUGAAAUAAUUUAAACUAUGAAAUUGUAAAUGGCAAAUUAAAUCAGUUAUAGUUUGUUUGAUGGUAUCUACUACUUUAUAACUGUAGUACUUCUAGAGCUAAUACAUGUAACAAAUUGGAAGGGAUGCAUUUAUUGGAUAAAAGGUCAACGGGAGGUUUACCCAUUGCUCUAAUGAUUCAUGAUAACUUGACGAAUCACAUAGCCUUUAUGCCAAUAUGCAUCAUUCAAAUUUUUGCCAUAUCAAAUUUCAAUAGUAGGAUAAUGGCCUACUAGGGUGGUGAUAGGUGGCAAAAUUAAGGUUCAAUUCUAGAGAUGGAGCCUAUUAAAUGCCACCAUAUCCAAGGAGGCAACAGGUGCACAAAUUAACUAAUCCUAACAUAUAGAGGUAGUGACAAUAAAUAACUAUACUAGGCUCUAUGAGUCUGGUAAUUAGAAUGAGUACAAUUUAAAUCCCUUAAUAAUGAUUCAUUAAAAGGCAAGUCUGGUGUAAGCAGCCAUGGUAAUUCUAACUCAAAUAAUGUAUAUUUAAGUUGUUGCGAUUAAAAAGCUCAUAAUUGGAGCUAAGGUUGGGUGGUUCGAUCCACUUCACGGUGAGCACUAGUUUACUUAACCUUACUACCGAUGAUGCACUCCUAGCCUUAUCUGGUUGGGCCAUUCCUUAGGUGCUAUUACUUUGAAAAAAUUAGAGUGUUUAAAGCAAGCCAAUGCUUGCAUACAUUAGAAUGGGAUAACAUCAUAGGAUUUUGGCCCUAUUGUAUUAGCUUUUGAGAUCGGAGUAAUGAUUAACAAGGACAAUCAGGGGCAUUCAUAUUACAUAGUCAAAGGUGAAAUUCUUGUAUUUAUGAAAGAUGAGUAAUUGCAAAAGUAUUUACCAAAGAUGUUUUCAUUAAUCAAGAACAAAAGUUGGGGCCUUGAAAAUGAUCAGAUACCAUCCUAAUCUUAACCAUAAAUGAUGUCAACCAAGGAUUGAUAGAUGUUAAUCUUAGGACUCCAUCAGAACAUUAUGAGAAAUCAAUGUCAUUAAGUUCCAGGGGGAGAAUGGUCGUAAGGCUAAAACUUAAAAGAAUUGAUGGAAGGGCACAACUAUGGUGGAGCCUAUAGCUUAAUUUGACUAAAUGUAGGGAAACUUACUAGGUUUAAACAUAGUAAGGAUUGAUAGACUAAAAGCUAUUUCUUGAUUCUAUGGGUGGUGAUGCAUGGCCGUUCUUAGUUGGUGGAGCAAUUUUUCUGGUUAAUUCCAUUAACGAAUGAAACCUCAGCCUACUAACUAGCUACACAAAAUUGAUCCUUUGUGGCUAGCCUUUUAGAGCGACUAUGGCCACUUAGGCUAAGGAAGUUUGAGGCAAUAAUAGGUCUAGGAUGCCCUUAGAUAUUCUGGGCCACACGCGCACUACACUAAUGUGUUCAAUGAGUUUAUAGUCUUGGCUGACAUAGGUAAUCUUUAAAAUUUCAUAAUGAUUGGGAUAAAUCAUUGCAAUUGUUGCUCUUCAACGAGGAAUUCCUAGAAGUGCACAUUAUUAGCUUGCAUUGACCACGUUCUUACCCUUUGUAUACAUCACCCAUUAUUUUUAUCGAUUGAAUGGUCUGAUGAAGUAUUCGGAUCAUAGUAACAAUGAUGAUUCAUAACCUGCAAUGUUGUGAGAAGUCUAUUGAACCUUAUCAUAUAGAGGAAGGGGAAGUCAUAACAAGGUUUUCAUAGGUGAACCUGUAAAAG